AUUCCGGUUGAUCCUGCCGGAGGUCAUUGCUAUCCGAAUCCGACUAAGCCAUGCAAGUCUUGGUAUUCUUCGAAUGCUAGGGCAGAAAGCUCAGUAACACGUAGUUAACAUGCCCUUAAGUCCGGGAUAAUUUCGGGAAACUGAAGCUAAUACCGGAUAGGUAAGAGGUACUGGAAUGUCCUCUUAUCCAAAGCUUCGGCGCUUAAGGAUUGGACUGCGCCGGAUUAGGUUGUUGAUAGGGUAACGUCCUGUCAAGCCGAUAAUCCGUAUAGGCCUUGAGAGAGGAAGCCUAGAGAUGGAUUCUGAGACAAGAAUCCAGGCCCUACGGGGCGCAGCAGGCGCGAAAAUUUCCCAAUGCACGCAAGUGUGAGGAAGGGAUUCGGAGUGCUUUUCCUUAUAUAGGGGAAGCUUUUGUAGAGUGUAAAAAGCUUUACGAAUAAGUGGUGGGUAAGAGUUUGAAUGUCAAAACAGUGAAAAGAAUACUUAGAUAAUAAGUAAUCUAUUUGCUGUUUAGCAAUCAGACUACCAAACGGGUGCCAGCCGCCGCGGUAAUACCCGCGCCACGAGUGAUGACCACGUUUAUUGGGCUUAAAGCGUUCGUAGCCGGUCCAGUAAGUCUUUAGUGAAAUCCCGUAGCCAACUAUGGGGCUUGCUAGUGAAACUGCUGGGCUAGGGACCGGGAGAGGUCUGGGGUAUUCCAGGGGUAGGGGUAAAACCCUUUUGCGCAUGAGACAAGCAAAAGCGUUUACGGAAAACCAAUGCGCAUUUGGUUAUAGUCCUGUAAUCCUUGGGAGACCACCCGUGGCGAAGGCGCCAGACCAGAACGGAUCCGACGGUGAGGGACGAAAGCCAGGGGAGCAAAGGGGAUUAGAUACCCCCGUAGUCCUGGCUGUAAACGAUGCCCACUAGACAUUGGCAGUCUCAAGGGGGCUGUCAGUGCCGUAGCGAAAGCGUUAAGUGGGCCGCCUGGGGAGUACGGUCGCAAGGCUGAAACUUAAGGGAAUUGGCGGGGGAGCACACAAGGGGUGGAGGCUGCGGUUUAAUUGGAUUCAACGCCGGGAACCUUACCAGAGGCGACAGCAGAGUGAAGGUCCGCUUGAAGAGCGUACCAGACGCGCUGAGAAGUGGUGCAUGGCCGUCGUCAGUUCGUGUCGUGUGAGCUUCUGGAAAAGUCCAAUUCUACCAGUAGCUCCGGCAAAGAUGUCCUGUUAAGUCAGGUAAAUCGAUAUGACCGUUAGCUUUUAAGUCCUCAAUCCAAAACUUCCGUAUGAAAUACCAGGUAAACUUCGAGACCUCGUGGUUGUCAGGAAUUUGGUGUGCGGACAGAGGCAGUACAGCUAAAGGUGUAGUUGCUAUAAACAAUAAGCACCUUGAUAUCCGAAAAGCUUUUGUUGCACUUUCACUAAAGAAUUUCGACAUAGAUGAAAAAAAGAUAAGAGAAAGAAAGAUAACCGGUUACGGGGUAACACAUGAAGUUUACUUUACGAGGCUGCCUGCAAGGAGAUUCAUAGAAAAUAUCUCUAGAAAAAGAAGCAAGCUUUCGAGGAAAAAUAAGCUUGCAUUCUUGGCAGGUAGACUUGAUGGUGAUGGAACUGUGGAUUUCAAAAGGAGUCUGCUUUGUAUAUAUUACGGUGUUUCUGAAAGGGAGGAAAUGGAUAUCGACCGAGAUAUGAUAGAGUCUCUCGGCUUCAAAACAUCUUGUGGAACGUGUGGUAGCAAAGCCCUAAGACUUAGGGUAUUAAAACCACGUUUUUUCGCAAAUGAGUUAAUGUUUUUCGUAAAACAUACGGAAAAGGAAAGGGGACUGAAAAAGCUUAUUAAAAAACGGGCAUAUCGAGCCUAACGAACAAGACCCGCGCUUCAUGUUGCUAUCGUAUAUUUAGGUAUGCGAGCACUCAUGAGGGACCGCUGGCGAUAAGCCAGAGGAAGGUGCGGUCGACGGCAGGUCUGUAUGCUCUGAAUCCUCUGGGUUACACGCGGCCUACAAUGACCGGGACAAUGGGAUGCAACACCGAAAGGUGAAGCUAAUCCCGAAACCCGGCCUCAGUUCAGAUCGAGGGCUGCAACUCGCCCUCGUGAAGCCGAAAUCCCUAGUAGUCGCUAGNNNNNNNNNNNNNNNNNNNNNNNNNNNNNNNNNNNNNNNNNNNNNNNNNNNNNNNNNNNNNNNNNNNNNNNNNNNNNNNNNNNNNNNNNNNNNNNNNNNNAGGCCUAUCACCGCGUUUACACCAAGACCAAUCUUGCGAGUGUCCACCUCUA
rnacentral:rRNA from 1 species